UCCUGUGUGGUGCAAAAGGUUAACACACUCAGCUGCUAACUGAAAGGUUGGCAGUUUGAGUCCACCCAAAGGGA
rnacentral:tRNA from 1 species